rnacentral:lncRNA from 1 species
UUGACGCCAGAUUUCGUCACUAAUAGAAUCGGCGCCAAGAAGAGGGGGAAUCGGAGAAGCACAGUUGGGAAUCGGCCAAAUGGUGCUACAGUGUGAGAUCGGCCGGUGACUUCUGUCUUGCUUCGGGUCGAACAUACCAGAGUCCCAAUCGGUAAUCUUUUGCCGAUAAGGAAUCGGCCGAUUAGGAGGAUGGACUAAUUGGGCCUGUAUGGGCUUAGAAAGGAAUAGAAGGAUGAGGUGGAAAUCAGCCCACAAAGCGUGGAGUAACCAACCUAGCACGAAUCGUGCUUGUAGAUAUUCGUUUUCUGUUUGAAUUAGGGAUAGAAUUCUAGUCGGUUAAGAAGAUAUCUGUACGGGGCUAUAAAUAGCUGCCUUUGUAAAUCUGUAAUCAUCA